CAGGACGAACGCUGGCGGCGUGCCUAACACAUGCAAGUCGAGCGGAGUUAACAAGAGGAAGUUUCGGAUGGAAUUUGUUAAUUAGCGGCGGACGGGUGAGUAACGCGUGAGCGACCAACCUUGCACAGGGGGAUAACGGACCGAAAGGUUCACUAAUACCGCAUGAGACCACGGUGUUGCAUGACACAGAGGUCAAAGGAGCAAUCCGGUGCAAGACGGGCUCGCGUCCGAUUAGGUAGUUGGUGGGGUAAUGGCCCACCAAGCCUAUGAUCGGUAGCCGACCUGAGAGGGUGAUCGGCCACAUUGGAACUGAGAUACGGUCCAAACUCCUACGGGAGGCAGCAGUGGGGAAUAUUGGGCAAUGGGGGGAAACCCUGACCCAGCAACGCCGCGUGAAGGAAGAAGGUUUUCGGAUUGUAAACUUCUGUCCUUGGUGAAGAGAAGAAGACGGUAGCCAAGGAGGAAGCCCCGGCUAACUACGUGCCAGCCGCCGC
rnacentral:rRNA from 1 species